rnacentral:SRP_RNA from 1 species
GCUGGGGGUGGUGGCUCGUGCCUGUAAUCCCAGCUCCUCCAGAGGCUAAGGCAGGAGAAUCACUUGAACCCAGGAGGUGGAGGUUGCAGUGAGCCGAGAUCAUGCCAUUGCACUCCAGCCUGGGUAACAAGAGCGAAACUCCGUCUAGCAUCAGUAAGGAGCAGGGGACCACCAGGUUGCCUAAGGAGGGGUGAACGUUGGAAAUGGAGCAAGUCAAAAACUCCCAUGCUGAUCAGUAGUGAGAUCACGCCUAUGAAUAGCCAUGCACUCUAGCCUGGCCAACAUAGCGAGACCCUAUCUCC